GCCGCGUGAGUGAGGAAGGUUUUCGGACCGUAAAGCUCUGUCGAGCGGGAAGAAAUGCAUGGUGGCUAAUAUCCAUCAUGCUUGACGGUACCGCUAAAGGAAGCACCGGCUAACUCCGUGCCAGCAGCCGCGGUAAUACGGGGGGUGCAAGCGUUGUUCGGAAUCAUUGGGCGUAAAGCGCGUGUAGGCGGCUGGACAAGUCAGAUGUGAAAGCCCUGGGCUUAACCCAGGAAGUGCAUUUGAAACUGUUCAGCUAGAGUAAGGGAGAGGAAAGUGGAAUUCCUGGUGUAGAGGUGAAAUUCGUAGAUAUCAGGAGGAACACCGGUGGCGAAGGCGACUUUCUGGCCCUAUACUGACGCUGAGACGCGAAAGCGUGGGUAGCAAACAGGAUUAGAUACCCUGGUAGUCCACGCUGUAAACGAUGUUCACUAGGUGUUGGGGGUAUUGACCCUUCCAGUGCCGCAGCUAACGCAUUAAGUGAACCGCCUGGGGAGUACGGUCGCAAGAUUAAAACUCAAAGGAAUU
rnacentral:rRNA from 1 species